rnacentral:rRNA from 1 species
UACGUAGGGGGCAAGCGUUGUCCGGAAUCAUUGGGCGUAAAGGGCGCGUAGGCGGCUCGGCACGUCCGUUGUGAAAUCGCCCGGCUCAACUGGGCGGGGUCAGCGGAUACGGCCGAGCUUGAGCAAGCUAGGGGGCAAUGGAAUUCCCGGUGUAGUGGUGGAAUGCGUAGAUAUCGGGAGGAACACCAGUGGCGAAGGCGGUUGCCUGGGGCUUUGCUGACGCUGAUGCGCGAAAGCGUGGGGAGCGAGUCCGG